CCGCGGUAAUACGUAGGGUCCAAGCGUUGUCCGGAUUUAUUGGGCGUAAAGAGCUCGUAGGCGGCUCAGUAAGUCGGAUGUGAAAACUCAGGGCUUAACCCUGAGACGCCACUCGAUACUGCUAUGACUUGAGUACGGUAGGGGAGUGGGGAAUUCCUGGUGUAGCGGUGAAAUGCGCAGAUAUCAGGAGGAACACCAGUGGCGAAGGCGCCACUCUGGGCCGAAACUGACGCUGAGGAGCGAAAGCGUGGGUAGCAAACAG
rnacentral:rRNA from 1 species